rnacentral:misc_RNA from 1 species
AUUCCUUGAUCUCUUCUGGUUAAAAACACUUACAUUUCAGUCUCUUCUGCCAGCUCAAAAAAUCCUGAUAUCAACAAAAUCUGUACAGGUUAUAUACUUAGCAUAAAACGUCAAUCUUAUAUACUUGGCAUAAAACGUCAAUCUUUGCUACGUGCUAUCUCGAUUCUUGACAACAACUAAGCACGAGUACUUGCAGCAUUUCCAUCAAUUUCCCAGAAGAAGAUCCCACAACAGAAACCAUUUAGCUAGAUUUGAGAAUGUAUCAUAGUAAAUAGUAAUUUAGGUUCUACUUCAAAACCUUGGUUUCUAGAAAAUUAUAGAAACAUUUGAAAGUAUUAAAUUUUACAGCAUGGAGAAGGCUGAUUGCAGGGAGCGCAUGCAUGAGACAAUGCAGAUGCAGUAGCACAAAUUUAAGGGACUGCAAACCAAUAUUAGAGUUCUUGCAAUUUCCCUUUGAACAUCUAAUCUUUUAACAGUAUCCAAGACUUCAGUUUAGCACAAUAACAAGCAAUAUCACUCAAUUUAUUCUUGUUCUUGAUUUGCUCCCUUUUUUGUGCAUCUCACAAAACUUUUCAUGUGAUGAAAAUCAUAGAACAUAGAUGCAGGUGAAUGUUUAGGAGAACAGGAAACUCUUAAGGACAUAAAAAUGCCUCUCUAACACAUAAUACAGUUAGAUAUCCAUGCAAUCAAGAUUCAGAAUACCCAACAAAAAAACAAGGAAAAAUGAGCAAAGCCAAGUAUUAAACAUAUACAAUACAAG